CGAAGAGCCAAGGAGAGCUCCCCCGUUCCAGCCCACAGAAACAUCUGUUUAAACACUGGCACUUUGCCAUGAUUGCAUGGAGCCCUGCACCGGAUCGAGAGGUGGUCAAUGCCCAGUCAAAACUUCACUCGACAAUGCCUCAGACUCGAUACCUACGGUCUGGCUAAUCUUUGGAACAUGGUUUGGGUGAAACAGCAAGACCUGUCUCAGGAUGUGGAAGUUGAGUUAAGAACUUGGUUAUUAACACGCUGAACAGAACCAGCCCAGAUGCGCCACUUCCUGACCAACCGCUUGGAGCUAUUUUCGGCUUGACCACUGGCCGCAGUUGGCCAGAACUUUCACUGAAUUAAGGAUCAGGGAGCUAAUUUCCCAUAUUGGGUGCUUGGACACUACAACCUGGGUAUAUAUAAUGUAUGGGGUUUUUAUGUUGUCAUAUUGGGGCGAUACUCUGUGUCAGACUUCUCUUUGCCCCUGUCCCCUAUUAAAUACAGCCCCCACUCUAAUAAUCUUACCUUUUUUCCAGUGCCAACACUCCGGCAACACUGGCUAGUUCUCCUUGUCACGUGAAAUCUUGCCAAUGCCAAUUUGAGAGAGUAGGCAGGUAGCGUAGGCCAAGGUUUGAGGCAUAAGGUAGGGAUCCACAAGAGUAGUCAAGAAAUAAAGACAGAUUCAGGAACCAGCAAUGGAGGAAAAGGGCAAAUUUAGUAAGUAAUCAGAAACACGAACUGAGGCCUGAAGCCAAUGAUGAAUGGAGUAAGUGAACAGGUUACAUUGGCCCUCAGUCUUUUUACUCCAGGUAAUAAUUUGUAUUUUAUAUUUAUAUACAGUUGGCAUAUUUUCUUACAGUAAGUAGGUACACAUUUUAAGUAAUGUUCAUAUGUUUAGAUUAUAAGUUCGUGUGCUCAAGGCGUCACUACCUCUUGUUUCAGUAAGUCAAGCUUAUAUGGUUGAAGUUAGUGUAUAUCUCAUGAAAUUCUUUGUACACACUGUGGAAAAUGUCAGCAUUUUACAAAUAACAAUAAUAUAACAUUAAACUGUAUAACACCCACAAUUGCAUUUUUCCAAACAUUCCUAAGUACAUAUUUAAAAGAAAAACCUUCUGCUCCUUGACUCUACAAGUAAAUGAACCAUUUUAGCACCAGCGGAAAACAGACAUUGUUUCAGUGUUGAGUGGUGAACCCCUGUGAAGACUCUUUGGUAAAGUCCCACUCGGUGUCCAAAGCUGCCUUAUUUAAGCACCAUAAAUAAAAUAACUUUAAAAUCUAAUAUUCAUGUUGCUAGCAGGCUACUUGUGCCAUCCCCUGGUUCUAUGUCACGCUGUUUAUAGGAGGUAUGACACAAACCAGGAGUCCGCAAAGCACCCAUGUCCCAGACCCUCACUUGCAGACCCUCACACGUCCAUAUUAGCAAUAUCUAUUUCAUCCAUAUCUGGAUGGCACUGAAGGAAGUGGGAAGUGUAGUAACGGGCCUUGGAGACCCUUGGUUAGUAUCAACCUGCACAAAAAGGGUGACAAGAGUACUGGGGGGAUGGUAUUAUACCCCUGAUAGCACCAUAACUGCUACAGAAGGCUUCUAAUUAUUACUAUUUUCUGUUUUUGCAUUAAUGGGUUACCUUCACGCAGUGCCAAAUUCUUCUAAAUUCAUUAACUAUAUAUAACAAAGGAAUAGUUAUGGCCAUGCUUUAGGAGAAUGGGUUGUGGAGGUGUCUUGUGGCCAAAGUCACAGAAAGAUGGAUGAUAACCAGGCGUUUACCGUACACGCCAACAUGAAGAAUCAUGAAACGUAUGACUGACAUGUUACUAAGACCUUAUUUUAAAAUAAACUUUCUUAAAAAGUAGCUUUUUUAGAUUAAUG